rnacentral:tRNA from 1 species
GGGGGUGUGGCGGAACUGGCAGACGCACCAGACUUAGGAUCUGGCGGGCAACCGUAGGGGUUCGACUCCCCUCUCUCGCACCA